rnacentral:rRNA from 1 species
UACGUAGGGGGCAAGCGUUAUCCGGAUUUACUGGGAGUAAAGGGAGCGUAGACGGCGAUGCAAGUCUGAAGUGAAAGGCGGGGGCCCAACCCCCGGACUGCUUUGGAAACUGUAUGGCUGGAGUGCAGGAGAGGUAAGUGGAAUUCCUAGUGUAGCGGUGAAAUGCGUAGAUAUUAGGAGGAACACCAGUGGCGAAGGCGGCUUACUGGACUGUAACUGACGUUGAGGCUCGAAAGCGUGGGGAGCAAACAGG